GCGGGAAUAACUUAGUAGGUAGAGUAUCAGCCUUCCAAGCUGAAAGCACGGGUUCAAAUCCCGUUUUCCGCU
rnacentral:tRNA from 1 species